rnacentral:rRNA from 1 species
GCGGCGUGCUUAACACAUGCAAGUCGAACGAUGAACCACUUCGGUGGGGAUUAGUGGCGAACGGGUGAGUAACACGUGGGCAAUCUGCCCUUCACUCUGGGACAAGCCCUGGAAACGGGGUCUAAUACCGGAUAGCACUUCCACGGGCAUCUGUGGGGGUUGAAAGCUCCGGCGGUGAAGGAUGGGCCCGCGGCCUAUCAGCUUGUUGGUGAGGUAAUGGCUCACCAAGGCGACGACGGGUAGCCGGCCUGAGAGGGCGACCGGCCACACUGGGACUGAGACACGGCCCAGACUCCUACGGGAGGCAGCAGUGGGGAAUAUUGCACAAUGGGCGCAAGCCUGAUGCAGCGACGCCGCGUGAGGGAUGACGGCCUUCGGGUUGUAAACCUCUUUCAGCAGGGAAGAAGCGCAAGUGACGGUACCUGCAGAAGAAGCGCCGGCUAACUACGUGCCAGCAGCCGCGGUAAUACGUAGGGCGCAAGCGUUGUCCGGAAUUAUUGGGCGUAAAGAGCUCGUAGGCGGCUUGUCACGUCGGGUGUGAAAGCCCGGGGCUUAACCCCGGGUCUGCAUUCGAUACGGGCUAGCUAGAGUGUGGUAGGGGAGAUCGGAAUUCCUGGUGUAGCGGUGAAAUGCGCAGAUAUCAGGAGGAACACCGGUGGCGAAGGCGGAUCUCUGGGCCAUUACUGACGCUGAGGAGCGAAAGCGUGGGGAGCGAACAGGAUUAGAUACCCUGGUAGUCCACGCCGUAAA